rnacentral:rRNA from 1 species
GGCUUAAAGAAAAGUAUUUUAAGUCUAACCUGCCCAUGAAGUGUUAAAUGGCUGCGGUAUAUUGACCGUGCAAAGGUAGCAUAAUCAUUAGUUUUUUAAUUGAAAGCUUGAAUGAAAGGUUUGAUGGAAAAAUAGCUGUCUCUGGGAAAGUUAAUUAGAAUUUUAUUUUUAAGUUAAAAAGCUUAAAUUUGUAUAGAAGACGAGAAGACCCUAUAGAGUUUGAUAUUCUAGAAAAUAUAUAUUUUUUUGGGUUAAAAAAAGUUUUGUUUUGGAAGAUAUUUGGUUGGGGUGAUAGGAAAACUAAGAAAACUUUUCUUUUUUUCAACAUUAAUGUAUGAAUUUUUGAUCCUUAUUUUAAGAUUAAAAGAAAAAACUACCUUAGGGAUAACAGCGUAAUUUUUUUUAGAGUUCUUAUCAAAAAAAGAGAUUGCGACCUCGAUGUUGGAUUAAAAUGAAUUGCUGGUGCAGAGGCUGGGUAAUUAGGUCUGUUCGACCUUUGAAAUUUUACAUGAUCUGAGUUUAAACCGGUGUGAG